GGGAAGCCAGGGCACCAGGAGCUUCUUUUAAAGGUAGAUUAUCAAGGGCCGGCCCAGGCCUUCGAAAUCUGCAGCUCCGAGGAGGAGGGACCUGUGGCCCGUGUUUUCCCAGCUCUCCUCACGGGGGCAGCGCGGGCUGAAGUCUGAGGACUCCGGCCCUGGGAGCUUGGACCCCACAAGCCUGUAGGUCUGUCCGCUGCUUGUUGUCUUGAUGUGUGUUAGUCAUCGGUGGUGUCCGACUCUUUGCCACCCCAUCGACUAUAGCCCUGCAGGCUCCUUUGUCCAUGGACUUUUCCAGGCAAGGAUACUGGAGUGGGUUCCUUCUCCAGGGGAUCUUCCCAACCCAGGGAUUGAACCCAGGUCUCCUGCAUUGCGGGCAGAUGCUUUACCAUCUGAGCUACUAGGGGAGCCUGUUGUCUUGAUAGUGAUGGAGUUAGAUCUGUCUGCAUCUUUGCUUGCUCUGAUUAUAUUUGGGACACUCGGUAAUCUUUCAGGGACGUGGAAAGGAGGGCCACCACAUCCUUUGUGUGCAGAGUGUGGGCCAGGUAUUAUGUUAGAGGCCUUAUAUCCAUUGUCCCAUGGGUCCCCAGCCUCCAGGCCACAGACCGGUAACUCCUGUUAGAUCAGGGGUGGCGUUAGGUUAGAGAUCAUACCAUAAAUGUAAUGAGCUUGAAACAUCUCCAAACCGUCCCCUCCAUGCCCCAACCCAGUCCUGGAAAAACUGCCUUGCAUGAAGCCGGUCCCUGGUGCUAAACAGGUUGGGAAGCCCUGCGUUACCCUAUUCAAUGCCCACAGCAACCCUGUAGAGUGCUGUUAGCCCCUCUCCCACUUUAUAAAUAACCUGAAGCUCAGAGAUGUCUAGUGAGUUGUCUAAGCUCACACAGCUCCAAAGCGACAGAGCAGAGAUGGAAGGCCAGUUUGACUUUCAACCGUAUGAAUGUAGACACAUAGAACACAAUUUGGCUCUUCUGCUAGAAGCUCCAUGAAGUUGGAAGGACCGAAGCCUGGAGGGGUCUGGGGAGAGCUGAGCCGGGUUUCUGCAGCUGGUCGGGGCUAGGGAACCGCAGGAUAUUAUUUACAUGGGAGAAAAAAAUCACAUUUGAAGAAACUAUUAUCUCAACUGCACUAGUUUGCAGUAAAAUGAUAGAAAUGAGAAACUUCUGGAAAGGAAGGACACCCCCUUCACAGAGCUUUGAAAGAACGUGCCCUAGCUUGGAGUGAAAAAGAAGACCAAGUAUCUACAUUUAGUUUUAUUCAGUUUGCUGAAA
ensembl:lncRNA